rnacentral:tRNA from 1 species
GGCGAUAUGGCCAAGUGGUAAGGCUGAAGAUUGCAAAUCUUUAAUCCCCAGUUCGAUUCUGGGUAUCGCCU